UACGUAGGGUGCAAGCGUUAAUCGGAAUUACUGGGCGUAAAGCGUGCGCAGGCGGUUGUGCAAGACAGGUGUGAAAUCCCCGGGCUUAACCUGGGAACUGCACUUGUGACUGCAUCGCUGGAGUGCGGCAGAGGGGGAUGGAAUUCCGCGUGUAGCAGUGAAAUGCGUAGAUAUGCGGAGGAACACCGAUGGCGAAGGCAAUCCCCUGGGCCUGCACUGACGCUCAUGCACGAAAGCGUGGGGAGCAAACAGG
rnacentral:rRNA from 1 species